rnacentral:lncRNA from 1 species
UAGAUCAAGGAUUCUUCUUCUUCAACAUCAUUUGGGAGGAACGAAUUGGGAUGAGUUUCAUGAAACUCAGUAAGGAAAAUAACAUUAUAAUCAUACUCAUAACAUUUUAGAGAUUACUUAAGACGCAUUAGUGAAAACAUGUUUACCAUUUAAAUGCCUUGCCUGGGUUUUUGAGACUGCUGAAAAUUUCAUAGUAACAUACU